rnacentral:rRNA from 1 species
GACGAACGCUGGCGGCGUGCUUAACACAUGCAAGUCGAACGGAAAGGCCCUGCUUUUGUGGGGUGCUCGAGUGGCGAACGGGUGAGUAACACGUGAGUAACCUGCCCUUGACUUUGGGUUAACUUCAGGAAACUGGGGCUAAUCCCGGAUAGGAGCUCCUGCUGCAUGGUGGGGGUUGGAAAGUUUCGGCGGUUGGGGAUGGACUCGCGGCUUAUCCGCUUGUUGGUGGGGUAGUGGCUUACCAAGGCUUUGCCGGGUAGCCGGCCUGAGAGGGUGAACGGCCACAUUGGGACUGAGAGACGGCCCAGACUCCUACGGGAGGCAGCAGUGGGGAAUAUGGCACAAUGGGGGGAAGCCUGAUGCAGCAACGCCGCGGGCGGGAUGACGGCCUUCGGGUUGUAAACCGCUUUCGCCUGUGACGAAGCGUGAGUGACGGUAAUGGGUAAAGAAGCACCGGCUAACUACGUG